rnacentral:rRNA from 1 species
CAGCCGCCGCGGUAAUACGGAGGGUGCGAGCGUUAAUCGGAAUAACUGGGCGUAAAGGGCACGCAGGCGGUUAUUUAAGUGAGGUGUGAAAGCCCCGGGCUUAACCUGGGAAUUGCAUUUCGGACUGGGUAACUAGAGUACUUUAGGGAGGGGUAGAAUUCCACGUGUAGCGGUGAAAUGCGUAGAGAUGUGGAGGAAUACCGAAGGCGAAGGCAGCCCCUUGGGAAUGUACUGACGCUCAUGUGCGAAAGCGUGGGGAGCAAACAGGAUUAGAGACCCGCGUAGUCCCUGUCUCUUAUAC